rnacentral:rRNA from 1 species
AUUGAACGCUGGCGGCAGGCCUAACACAUGCAAGUCGAGCGGAGCGGCGGACGGGUGAGUAAUGCCUAUGAAUCUGCCUGGUAGUGGGGGAGAACGUCAGCAAACGGGCACUAAUACCGCAUACUCUCAGAUGAGCCUAGGUCGGAUUAGCUAGUUGGUGGGGUAAAGGCCUACAAAGGCGACGAUCCGUAGCUGGUCUGAGAGGAUGAUCAGUCACACUGGGACUGAGACACGGUCCAGACUCCUACGGGAGGCAGCAGUGGGGAAUUUUGGACAAUGGGCGAAAGCCUGAUCCAGCCAUUCCGCGUGUGUGAUGAAGGUCUUCGGGUUGUAAAGUACUUUUGGCUGAGAGGCGGUACCAGCAGAAUAAGCACCGGCUAACUUCGUGCCAGCAGCCGCGGUAAUAC